GAUAAACGCUGGCGGCGCACAUAAGACAUGCAAGUCGAACGAACUUAAUACCUUGCUUGCAAGGUAAGCGGUUAGUGGCGGACUGGUGAGUAACACGUAAGAAAUCUGCCUAUCAGAGGGGAAUAACAGUGAGAAAUCAUUGCUAAUACCGCAUAUGCCAUAGUUAUCGCAUGAUAAUAGUGGGAAAGGAGCAAUCCGCUGAUAGAUGAGCUUGCGUCUGAUUAGCUAGUUGGUGGGGUAACGGCCUACCAAGGCGACGAUCAGUAGCCGGACUGAGAGGUUGAACGGCCACAUUGGGACUGAGAUACGGCCCAGACUCCUACGGGAGGCAGCAGUCGGGAAUAUUGCGCAAUGGAGGAAACUCUGACGCAGUGACGCCGCGUAUAGGAAGAAGGUUUUCGGAUUGUAAACUAUUGUCCACAGGGAAGAUAAAAGACUGUACCUGUGAAGAAAGCUCCGGCUAACUACGUGCCAGCAGCCGCGGUAAUACGUAGGGAGCAAGCGUUAUCCGGAAUUAUUGGGUGUAAAGGGUGCGUAGACGGGAUAACAAGUUGGUUGUGAAACCCCUCGGCUCAACUGAGGAACUGCAACCAAAACUAUUAUUCUUGAGUGCAGGAGAGGAAAGUGGAAUUCCUAGUGUAGCGGUGAAAUGCGUAGAUAUUAGGAAGAACACCGGUGGCGAAGGCGACUUUCUGGACUGUAACUGACGUUGAGGCACGAAAGUGUGGGGAGCAAACAGGAUUAGAUACCCUGGUAGUCCACACUGUAAACGAUGGAUACUAGGUGUAGGGUGUAUUAAGCACUCUGUGCCGCCGCUAACGCAUUAAGUAUCCCACCUGGGGAGUACGACCGCAAGGUUGAAACUCAAAGGGAAUUGACGGGGGCCCGCACAAGCAGUGGAGUAUGUGGUUUAAUUCGAAGCAACGCGAAGAACCUUACCAGGGCUUGACAUAUACCGGAAUAUACUAGAGAUAGUAUAGUCCUUCGGGACUGGUAUACAGGUGGUGCAUGGUUGUCGUCAGCUCGUGUCGUGAGAUGUUGGGUUAAGUCCCGCAACGAGCGCAACCCCUAUCGUUAGUUGCUAGCAGGUAAUGCUGAGAACUCUAGCGAGACUGCCGGUGAUAAAUCGGAGGAAGGUGGGGACGACGUCAAAUCAUCAUGCCCUUUAUGUCCUGGGCUACACACGUACUACAAUGGCCGUAACAGAGGGAAGCAAUAUAGUGAUAUGGAGCAAAACCCUAAAAGCGGUCUCAGUUCGGAUUGAAGGCUGAAAUUCGCCUUCAUGAAGCUGGAAUUGCUAGUAAUGGCAGGUCAGCAUACUGCCGUGAAUACGUUCCCGGGCCUUGUACACACCGCCCGUCACACCAUGAGAGUUGGAAAUACCCGAAGCCUGUGAGCUAACUGUAAAGAGGCAGCAGUCGAAGGUAGAGCCAAUGAUUGGGGUG
rnacentral:rRNA from 1 species